rnacentral:rRNA from 1 species
GGUCUGAGAGGAUGAUCAGCUCACAUUGGGACUGAGACACGGCCCAAACUCCUACGGGAGGCAGCAGUGGGGAAUAUUGGACAAUGGGCGCAAGCCUGAUCCAGCCAUGCCGCGUGAGUGAUGAAGGCCCUAGGGUUGUAAAGCUCUUUUGUGCGGGAAGAUAAUGACGGUACCGCAAGAAUAAGCCCCGGCUAACUUCGUGCCAGCAGCCGCGGUAAUACGAAGGGGGCUAGCGUUGCUCGGAAUCACUGGGUGUAAAGGGUGCGUAGGCGGGUCUUUAAGUCAGGGGUGAAAUCCUGGAGCUCAACUCCAGAACUGCCUUUGAUACUGAAGAUCUUGAGUUCGGGAGAGGUGAGUGGAACUGCGAGUGUAGAGGUGAAAUUCGUAGAUAUUCCAAGAACACCAGGGCGAAGCGGCUCACUGGCCCGAUACUGACGCUGAGGCACGAAAGCGUGGGGAGCAAACAGAUUAGAUACCCUGGUAGUCCAGCCGUAAACGAUGAAUGCCACGCCGUUAGUGGGUUUACUCACUAUUGGCGCAAGCUAAGCUUUAAGCAUUUCCGCCUGGGGAGUACGGUCGCAAGAUUAAAACUCAAAGGAAUUGACGGGGGCCCGCACAAGCGGUGGAGCAUGUGGUUUAAUUCGACGCAACGCGCAGAACCUUACCAGCCCUUGACAUCCCGGUCGCGGACUCCAGAGACGGAGUCCUUCAGUUCGGCUGGACCGGAGACAGGUGCUGCAUGGCUGUCGUCAGCUCGUGUCGUGAGAUGUUGGGUUAAGUCCCGCAACGAGCGCAACCCCCGUCCUUAGUUGCUACCAUUUAGUUGAGCACUCUAAGGAGACUGCCGGUGAUAAGCCGCGAGGAAGGUGGGGAUGACGUCAAGUCCUCAUGGCCCUUACGGGCUGGGCUACACACGUGCUACAAUGGCGGUGACAAUGGGAAGCGAAGACGCAAGUCUUAGCAAAUCUCAAAAAGCCGUCUCAGUUCGGAUUGGGCUCUGCAACUCGAGCCCAUGAAGUUGGAAUCGCUAGUAAUCGUGGAUCAGCACGCCACGGUGAAUACGUUCCCGGGCCUUGUACACACCGCCCGUCACACCAUGGGAGUUGGUUUUACCUGAAGACGGUGCGCUAACCAGCAAUGGAGGCAGCCGGCCACGGUAGGGUCAGCGACUGGGGUGAAGUCGUAACAAGGUAGCC